GAGGAAUAUUGGUCAAUGGGCGAGAGCCUGAACCAGCCAAGUAGCGUGCAGGAUGACGGCCCUAUGGGUUGUAAACUGCUUUUGUAUGGGGAUAAAGUCAAUCACGUGUGAUUGUUUGCAGGUACCAUACGAAUAAGGACCGGCUAAUUCCGUGCCAGCAGCCGCGGUAAUACGGAUGGUUCGGGCGUUAUCCGGAUUUAUUGGGUUUAAAGGGAGCGUAGGCCGGAGAUUAAGUGUGUUGUGAAAUGUAGACGCUCAACGUCUGACUUGCAGCGCAUACUGGUUUCCUUGAGUACGCACAACGUUGGCGGAAUUCGUCGUGUAGCGGUGAAAUGCUUAGAUAUGACGAAGAACUCCGAUUGCGAAGGCAGCUUACGGGAGCGCAACUGACGCUUAAGCUCGAAGGUGCGGGUAUCGAACAGGAUUAGAUACCCUGGUAGUCCGCACAGUAAACGAUGGAUGCCCGCUGUUGGUACCUGGUAUCAGCGGCUAAGCGAAAGCAUUAAGCAUCCCACCUGGGGAGUACGCCGGCAACGGUG
rnacentral:rRNA from 1 species